rnacentral:rRNA from 1 species
UAGAAUUGACGGGACCGCACAAGCGGUGGAUGAUGUGGUUAAUUCGAUGCAACGCGAAAACCUUACCACCUUUGACAUGUACGGAAUCCUUUAGAGAUAGAGGAGUGCUCGAAAGAGAACCGUAACACAGGUGCUGCAUGGCUGUCGUCAGCUCGUGUCGUGAGAUGUUGGGUUAAGUCCCGCAACGAGCGCAACCCUUGUCAUUAGUUGCUACAUUCAGUUGGGCACUCUAAUGAGACUGCCGGUGACAAACCGGAGGAAGGUGGGGAUGACGUCAAGUCCUCAUGGCCCUUAUAGGUGGGGCUACACACGUCAUACAAUGGAUGGUACAAAGGGUCGCCAACCCGCGAGGGGGAGCCAAUCCCAUAAAGCCAUUCGUAGUCCGGAUCGCAGUCUGCAACUCGACUGCGUGAAGUCGGAAUCGCUAGUAAUCGCGGAUCAGCAUGUCGCGGUGAAUACGUUCCCGGGUCUU